ensembl:misc_RNA Y_RNA Y RNA
UGCCGGCCUGAGUGCAGCGGUGUUUACAACUAACUGCCAGUUACGGAUCUCUUUGUUCCUUCUCCACGCCAACUGCUUCACUUGACUAGCCUUAG